GAUGAACGCUGGCGGCGUGCCUAAUACAUGCAAGUCGAGCGAACGGACGAGAAGCUUGCUUUUCUGAUGUUAGCGGCGGACGGGUGAGUAACACGUGGAUAACCUACCUAUAAGACUGGGAUAACUUCGGGAAACCGGAUCUAAUACCGGAUAAUAUUUUGAACCGCAUGGUUCAAAAGUGAAAAACGGUCUUGCUGUCACUUAUAGAUGGAUCCGCGCUGCAUUAGCUAGUUGGUAAGGUAACGGCUUACCAAGGCAACGAUGCAUAGCCGACCUGAGAGGGUGAUCGGCCACACUGGAACUGAGACACGGUCCAGACUCCUACGGGAGGCAGCAGUAGGGAAUCUUCCGCAAUGGGCGAAAGCCUGACGGAGCAACGCCGCGUGAGUGAUGAAGGUCUUCGGAUCGUAAAACUCUGUUAUUAGGGAAGAACAUAUGUGUAAGUAACUGUGCACAUCUUGACGGUACCUAAUCAGAAAGCAACGGCUAACUACGUG
rnacentral:rRNA from 1 species